UCCCGAGCCAAAAUCACAAGCAUCAGGGGAAGAAUGAGGUGGUGGGGAUUGAACCACAAAAGAUGGAGCUAAUAUCAGCUUAUUGCUGAACAAUUCUUGUUCAGAAGCCAAGCAAACACCCUUGUAACACCCACUAGCUUAGAGAGAAAGGAGAUUCUGUUUCUGUUCUUUCAUCCAUGGCUUCUUCACAUAACCGUACCCUCACAGCUCCUAUCAUUUUCCAGAACUUUCUGUAUCCAGUGAUGUAUAGGCCGGUGCAUGUAUACCGAUUAGAGGAAGGAAAAGAACAAAUGGAAGAAAGGGAGUAUUUGCUUCAUGAAACCAGUAACUUUGAGGAAACUAGGUUUGCUCUAGUUAUCACAUUGUACAAAUUUGAUGUGUCUGCGCAGUUUGUAGGGAACCUAAAUGGUGUAUGGAAAUGCAUGUUUGUGUAUGCCUCCGAUCGCGAUCAAUCGGCCAGUGUUGAUGCUAGUCCCCAAAGGGCUUUCGAUUGCUGAGUAUGUUUUAACAAAUACAUUUUCUCAUGU